ACAUCGCUCAUAAAUUCAUAAUUGUCCAUUUUUGCACAAAAGCUUGACACUUUAUUUGGAAAUAUGAAUAUAGAACACAACUCUGUUUCUCUGUUAUGUUUUGUAGAAGAGCUGUAUGUGGGACCCGUAGGUCGGCCUGGAACCAAAGAUCUGUUCUACCCAACUCAAUACUCACAGUCUUUCCCCUUUCAGAGUGUAGCGUGUCCCUAGAAACAACAGUGGUCGUACUGGCGUAACCCGCUAUACUGAGUGUCGUUAUCGUAUCGGUAUCGUAAUGAACCAAUGGAUAACGACCGAAUUCCCACUGUACGAUCAUCUCUCAUCGCACUUCACACACAUCGACAUGUUUCCAAGUGCCUUUAAUUGUAUAACCCAUAACAGAUCUAUCAAAGAAUGAUCAUGACAUGUCAUAAAAUACAUCGGUACGAAUGUACGAUUUUGUUUUCUGCUCUAAUUAUGUUGAAUCACUGUCUCGUGAACAAGUCAUCAGCACCACCAUUUAAAUCAAGUGACACCAGAUCAACAUGGAGCCACAAGGAUGCCACCAUUAGUGCCAAUAAGUGUUACAGAUAACUCCAUAAGCUUGGGUCUGGUCCAUACGUAUUUAAAGUAAGCGGUUAGCUUUGACAUCACAUUGGUUCUUUGUGCCCACCAUCUGGUGAACGACCUCGCUUCUUACAAAUAAAAGUUAUUUAGGAUAUUGGAUAGAACUAAUGAGUUGUUUCCGAUCCCAUUACCAUCACGCGAGAGACCAGUACAUUGAUUGCAGGCGAUAUCGUAGCUAAGAAUCACAACGGCUUAUUCUGUUAACACCAGCCUCAAAAGCAUUGACCAUUUCUCCUGACACACUGGCUAUAGCAUCAGCAGCCUUUCGUUUUUCAGCCCCAGGUAAUAACCACUCAAAUUUAGUUUAUGUUAUCCCGUAGAAAACUACAUCUAUGCAAUACGAACAAUCCAAAAGAAACCAAUAAUUUUUAUUAUCUACUAAAUCUAACCACUCUUCAUAUAGGAUCUGAAACAAAAAAAAGUUAAUAUUACCUUCAGCAAAAUGAUUAACCAAAGAUUUAGUUUUUAUCAUAGCUUAUUAGUCUGGUGACGUGUUUGGGUGGUUUGGUUGGGUUACAUGAUUUAUUGCUUUACUUUUUGUUGUUAUUCCUGUUGAAAUUUGUAGUGUGAGAUGCAAAAUCUAUUCCGGUGAUGAAAGCUAGAACUGUUCGUACAACCAUUGAUACCAGUUGUGUGGUUAGUUUUCCAGAUCAUAUUUUUUGAAUCUUGAAAUCAUAAACCCUAGAUACAGCACUAGAUGACUUGUUUAAGGUUUGUUCCUAAAUUCUUACAGAACUGUUUUGGUUAUUCAUCUUUGCUUCACUUGUUUAACAUAAAGAUUAAAGAAUAGAAGCGGUGGAAAUGCAUCUUAGAAUCUUAACAUUGUUGGGUUAAUCUUGAUGUUUCGGGUUGUUCUAGGUCGUGUACGGGUCAAAUCGGUUACCGGUUUUGUUUAAAUGUGUCACCGAAUAGAAAACGGGUCAUGGGUCGGCAUGUUAUCGGGUUACCCGCGCGUUGCGGCGGAGUCAACAAUUUAAGUCAGAAGAAGAGACAUGUCAGAAAAGCAUGCCGUGAUCAGGCCUGUGUGUACCAGAUCAAAAUCGAAGGUGAUUCGAAGGGACGAUCUGUGUGAUCGAGGGAAGAAAAUUUGUUUGGUUCAGCGAUUCGAGUAGAGAAGACUUGUGUGGUGCGGUUGCGGAGAAAACAUUUGUUUGAGAAGCCAAGACCUGCGUUGGGGCUACGUGAUCGUGCAGGUCUUGAAUCUUAUAUCUCUAAAUUGGAAAAUUGGGUGGAUCUGAUGCAGUGAAGGGUUAAAAUAAAUACUUAUUUGGUACAUGCUGGCUUGGCGAGAAUUAAACCAAUCAUAAGUCAAAGAUGUUGUAAUCAUUGUUAUAUAUAUUGCCCCUCAACUACUGUAAGUAUC